AGUGAACGCUGGCGGUAGGCCUAACACAUGCAAGUCGAACGGCAGCACAGUAAGAGCUUGCUCUUACGGGUGGCGAGUGGCGGACGGGUGAGGAAUACAUCGGAAUCUACUUUUUCGUGGGGGAUAACGUAGGGAAACUUACGCUAAUACCGCAUACGACCUACGGGUGAAAGCAGGGGAUCUUCGGACCUUGCGCGAUUGAAUGAGCCGAUGUCGGAUUAGCUAGUUGGCGGGGUAAAGGCCCACCAAGGCGACGAUCCGUAGCUGGUCUGAGAGGAUGAGCGGACACACGGGAACGGAGCCACGGUCAGGACGACUACGGGAGGCAGCAGUAGGGAAUGGGCGGAAAUGGGCGAAAGUAUGACGGAGCAACGCCGAGUGAGAGAAGACGGGCUUGGGAUCGUAAAACUCUGUUAUCAGGGAAGAAAAUAUGGGCAAGUAACUGUGCAGAUCUUGACGGUACCGAAUCAGAAAGCCACGGCUAAAUACGCG
rnacentral:rRNA from 1 species